ensembl:processed_transcript Gas5 growth arrest specific 5
UUUCGGAGCUGUGCGGCAUUCUGAGCAGGAAUGGCAAUGUGGACCUCUGUGAUGGGACAUCUUGUGGGAUCUCACAGCCAGUUCUGUGGCAAAGGAGGAUGAAGGUUUAUGAGGACUCGUCAGGAAGCUGGAUAACAGAACGAGCGCAAUGUGCUAGAAGACCAGAAAAUGAAAUGGUGGAGUUUGAGGCUGGAUAGACAGUUUGAAAGGUACAAAUGAUGGUUUGAAUAAAGGUAAGCAUUGUAAGUUUAAUAUUUACUAUAUGAAUUAAGGUACUGUUAGUGAUGACCAAUAAAGUUAAACAGAUGGGAAUCUCUCUGAAUAAGAUUGAAGAUUGAUUGUUAAGCUGAAACAGUAUUUAAGAACAUCAGUAAAUAUAGUUUACAAAUACAUAUUUCUAAAUGGAGUGUAAUUUCUUACAGGUAUAACGCACGGGUCGCCUCAAGUGAAGGCACUGCAAACAAAAUGAUUGGUCAUUCUGAAUUUCCGGUCCUUCAUUCUGAAUUUCAAAGGCUCCUGUGACAAGUGGACAU